rnacentral:rRNA from 1 species
GAUGAACGCUGGCGGCGUGCCUAAUACAUGCAAGUCGAGCGAACAGACGAUGAGCUUGCUCCUCUGACGUUAGCGGCGGACGGGUGAGUAACACGUAGAUAACCUACCUAUAAGACUGGGAUAACUUCGGGAAACCGGAGCUAAUACUGGAUAAUAUAUUGAACCGCAUGGAUCAAUAGUUAAUGUAGGUUUUGCUGUAACUUUUAGAUGGAUCCGCGCCGCAUUAGCUAGUUGGUAAGGUCACGGCUUACCAAGGCAACGAGGCGUAGCCGAACUGAGAGGGUGAGCAGCCACACUGGGACUGAGACCCGGUCCAGACUCCAACGGGAGGCAGCAGUAGGGAAUCUUCCGGAAUGGGCGGAAGCCUGACGGAGCAACGCCGCGUGGGUGAUGAAGGUCUUCGGAUCGUAAAACUCUGUUAUUAGGAAAGAACAAAUGUGUAAGUAACGAUGCACGUCUUGACGGUACCUAAUCAGAAAGCCACGGCUAACUACGUG